GACGAACGCUGGCGGCGUGCCUAAUACAUGCAAGUAGAACGCUGAAGGGAGAGCUUGCUCUUCUGGAUGAGUUGCGAACGGGUGAGUAACGCGUAGGUAACCUGCCUGGUAGCGGGGGAUAACUAUUGGAAACGAUAGCUAAUACCGCAUAAUAGUAGAUGUUGCAUGACAUUUGCUUAAAAGGUGCAAUUGCAUCACUACCAGAUGGACCUGCGUUGUAUUAGCUAGUUGGUGGGGUAACGGCUCACCAAGGCGACGAUACAUAGCCGACCUGAGAGGGUGAUCGGCCACACUGGGACUGAGACACGGCCCAGACUCCUACGGGAGGCAGCAGUAGGGAAUCUUCGGCAAUGGACGGAAGUCUGACCGAGCAACGCCGCGUGAGUGAAGAAGGUUUUCGGAUCGUAAAGCUCUGUUGUAAGAGAAGAACGAGUGUGAGAGUGGAAAGUUCACACUGUGACGGUAUCUUACCAGAAAGGGACGGCUAACUACGUGCCAGCAGCCGCGGUAAUACGUAGGUCCCGAGCGUUGUCCGGAUUUAUUGGGCGUAAAGCGAGCGCAGGCGGUUAGAUAAGUCUGAAGUUAAAGGCUGUGGCUUAACCAUAGUACGCUUUGGAAACUGUUUAACUUGAGUGCAAAAGGGGAGAGUGGAAUUCCAUGUGUAGCGGUGAAGUGCGUAGAUAUAUGGAGGAACACCGGUGGCGAAAGCGGCUCUCUGGCUUGUAACUGACGCUGAGGCUCGAAAGCGUGGGGAGCAAACAGG
rnacentral:rRNA from 1 species